rnacentral:tRNA from 3 species
GAGGCUAUAGCUCAGCUGGAUAGAGCGCCAGAUUGCGGAUCUGAAGGUCGGAGGUUCGAAUCCUCUUAGCCUCA